UCGUGAGUAGUUCAUACUGGCUGAAGUGUCUACGAAGACGUGAUUCAGUUGAUCGCGGAAAGCCGACCAUGAACGAGCUCCUCGUAGAAAGUUGUGCUGUUGCAGGUGAUUGAUAAUCUUAUAAAAAAGUGCAAACAUAACACGCCAACUGCCUACAAGCACAAGGGAUCUUGCAUCCACCUUGUUGCUUGAACUCCAUAUACCUGUAGCAGUGGGUGGGCAUAGAACUCAUUGAGGAAGUCCAUGAUGGUGUCAG